GUGCUUCCUUGGGCAGCAUAUAUAUUAAAAUUGUGAGAAUACAGAGAAGAUUAGCAUGGCCCCCUGUGUAAGGAUGACAUGCAAAUUCAUGAAGCGUUCCAAAGGAAA